GACGAACGCUGGCGGCGUGCUUAACACAUGCAAGUCGAACGGAAAGGCCCUGCUUUUGUGGGGUGCUCGAGUGGCGAACGGGUGAGUAACACGUGAGUAACCUGCCCUUGACUUUGGGAUAACUUCAGGAAACUGGGGCUAAUACCGGAUAGGAGCCCCUGCUGCAUGGUGGGGGUUGGAAAGUUUCGGCGGUUGGGGAUGGACUCGCGGCUUAUCAGCUUGUUGGUGGGGUAGUGGCUUACCAAGGCUUUGACGGGUAGCCGGCCUGAGAGGGUGACCGGCCACAUUGGGACUGAGAUACGGCCCAGACUCCUACGGGAGGCAGCAGUGGGGAAUAUUGCACAAUGGGCGGAAGCCUGAUGCAGCAACGCCGCGUGCGGGAUGACGGCCUUCGGGUUGUAAACCGCUUUCGCCUGUGACGAAGCGUGAGUGACGGUAAUGGGUAAAGAAGCACCGGCGAACUACGU
rnacentral:rRNA from 1 species